rnacentral:lncRNA from 10 species
AAAUUAACUGGGCGUGGUGGCAUGUUCCUGAAGUCCCAGCUACUCUGUAGGCUGAGGCAGGAGAAUUGCUUGAACUGGCACCCAGGAGGCAGAGGUUGCAGUGAGCUGAGAUCGUGCCAUUGCACUCCAGCCGGGGCUACAGAGUGAGACUCAGUCUCAAAAAAAAAAAAAAAAAUAUUUAUUUUUAUUUUUUAUUACAGGCAGUUGGAUAAUAUAUUGUAGAAAGAAAAGAACUAUGAUUCAAACAGUUUAAUAAUGAAAUUUCUUCAAUAAAUCAAGCAUUAUUCCUCUGCAGGAGUUUUGUGUACAUUGUCUAGAAUAAUCUUUCCCAAGCUUUUUGCAUGGCUGCUUCAUUUUCACCUUUGAGGCUGCCUGCCUUUUAUCUUGGAUUAAAUGUAUUCUCUUAUCUAAAUUCUCAGUAUUUAUCAGAGCACCUUGUUUGUUUGAGUCUAGCACUUUAGAUAUUAUUUGGUAAUUUACUAAUUUAUUAUGUAUCUCCCCCAGUAAAUUUUAAGCUGAGAACAGGGACUGUAACUGUUUUACUCACAUUAUAUUUGUAUUGCUUUGCACAGAGACUAGAUAUUAAAUAUUUAUUAAAGAUAGAAAUAAGGAAGUGAUGCUACUUUGUAUUCAAAGCUUUAUAUAUUCCUAGACCUUUGCUUAUCUGUUAAAAACAAGACCUAGCAUAUAACAUAUAUUAGAUGCUCAGUAAAUAUGUUUAAUGAAUAAAACCAAAGUUAUCUUCUGGAAUCAUAAUACAUGAGUUCUAAUACACCCUGGUAGAUAGAAUUAUCUAGUUCUUAUACUUUUAUUUGUUGUUGAGAUGGAGUUUCACUCUUGUUGCCCAGGCUGGAGUGCAGUGACACGACCUCAGCUCACUCCUGGGUUCAAGUGAUUCUCCUGCCUCAGCCUCCCGAGUAGCUGGGAUUACAGGCGCCCACCACAACGCCCGGCUAAUUUUUUGUAUUUUUAGUAGAGAUGGGGUUUCAACAUAUUGGCCAGGCUGGUCUUGAACUCCUGAUCUCAGGUGUUUCACCCGCCUCGGCCUCCCAAAGUGCUGGGAUCACAGGCGUGAGCCACCACGCCUGUCCUAGUUCUUAUACUUUUUUUUUUUUUUUUUGAGACCAAGUCACGCUCUGUCACCCAGGCUGGAGUGCAGUAGUGUGAUCUCGGCUCACUGCAAGCUCUGCCUCCCAGGUCCGCGCCAUUCUCCUGCCUCAGCCUUCCGAGUAGCUGGGACUACAGGCGCCUGCCACCAUGCCCGGCUAAUUUUUUCUAUUUUUUAGUAGAGAUGGGGUUUCGCCAUCUUAGCCAGGAUGGUCUCGAUCUCCUGACCUCGUGAUCUGCCCGCUCAGCUUCCCAAAGUGCUAGGAUCACAGGCCUGAGCCACCACGCCUGGCCCCUAGUUCUUAUACUUUUAUGAAAGACAAAGAAGGUGAAGUGCUCCCCUGACCCCCCAACCCCGAAAAAAGCUUAGUAACAUGCUGAAGGUCACAUAGUUUUGUUGUGGUGACCUGGCCUGUUUUGUUUUUAACAGCAAAGCCCAUGUGUUUUUCUUGCACUUUGUUUACCGUCUGACUACUGCCAUUUCCUUAAUUUCAAAGAUUUUCAACUUGAAUCCUCAAUUUCUUCACAUGAAAAAAUGGACCAUCUAGAUUAGAUGGUUUCUAAGGUCUGCUGUGAUUUUAAAGUUAUGUAGCAUUGUGGCUGUAUGUCUUCACAGCAGUUCAAGAAUAUUGCUUUUAAAGGAAUUUGUAGUUCUUUGUUGGGAAAAUUUUCUAUUAUUUUGCUUCCUCAUAAGUGAUGCUCAUCUUUUCAAAGAAAUACAUAUACAUUUUUAAGUGUAUGUAUGAGUAGUAUGUGUAUUUCUGUCUACAAAAUUAUAAAAUGAUGAAACUAUUCUGUCAUACCUAGAAUAUAAAAGGGAAAAAAGUGUGAAUUCUUUAAAUAUUUUUCUAUGUCCUAAUCACUGGAAGUCCUAUAGUUGUUUCAAACUGUUCUGUAAAAUUUGUCUUGUUGCUUAUGUUCAAAAUAUAUUUCCAUGUUUUAGUGAAGAAAAGUACAAAGUGGCUUGACAGAAAGUGAAAUUAAGACUGCUGGUAAUCCUUUGAAGAGACUUAGUAAUAGGAGUUGGCAAAUAUUUAAGAGUGGCAUUGGAGACAAAUGGCAGAUUCAGGAUAGGCUGUUUCUGUAGGAAGCAUGGUUCUGGAUGAGUGCUGCUCAUAAAGUCAUUGAAAGUUAUUCCAGAUAGUUUAAUAGAAGUGUUUGUUUAGCAAAGACAACAGAUUUUGCUAUUUUGACUGCAUUGAUUGUAUUAGUUCAGAUUUAUGAAAGAAAGAGCCCGGAAUACAGAAAUAAGAUAACAAUAGAAAAUUUAAGCAUGUCAAGAACUCUAAUGCUGGAAUUGUCACAGCAACCACAAAAUUACUGGGCAUCAAUAGACUCCUAAGAAUUAAGAGAAAUUGCAGAAUGUAAGCCAUAAUUGUCAUUUUAGGAACAUUAUGCUAGAGCACAAGUUUAGGAUUGGGCAAAAGAGUUGAUUUUUAAGAUUGCAUUGGUGUUCUCUCUCUCUCUUUUUUUUUUUUUUUUGGAGACGGAUUCUUGUUCCGUCACCCAGGCUGGAGUGCAGUGGCACAAGCUCGGCUCACUGCAACCUCCGCCUCCCAGGAUCAAGCGAUUCUCCUGCCUCAGCCUCCUGAGUAGCUGGGAUUACAGGCAUGCUCCACCAUGCCCGGCUAAUUUUUGUAUUUUUAGUAGAGACAGGGUUUCACCAUGUUGGCCAGGCUGGUCUCAAACUCCUGACCUUGUGAUCCACCCGCCUUGGCCUCCCAGAGUGCUGUGAUUACAGCUGUGAGCCUCCGUGCCCAGGCCAGUGUUCUCUCUUAAAUGUGUUUCAAUAUGGUGGACAUUUAUUGAGCACUUGUGUUGGGCGUUUCAACAGGAGGCACUGGUACGAAAAGUAGCUUGUUCUAGUUCAUAUAUCAUUUGCACUUUGCUUAACUUGUAUAAGUACUUUUUACUGUUUAAUAAAUAUUUUAUUAGAAAAUACU